rnacentral:rRNA from 1 species
CAGCAGUAGCCGCGGUAAUACGCAGGUGGCAAGCGUUGUCCGGAAUUAUUGGGCGUAAAGGGCUCGCAGGCGGUUUCUUAAGUCUGAUGUGAAAGCCCCCGGCUCAACCGGGGAGGGUCAUUGGAAACUGGGAAACUUGAGUGCAGAAGAGGAGAGUGGAAUUCCGCGUGUAGCGGUGAAAUGCGUAGAGAUGUGGAGGAACACCAGUGGCGAAGGCGACUCUCUGGUCUGUAACUGACGCUGAGGAGCGAAAGCGUGGGGAGCGAACAGGAUUAGAGACCCUGUAGUCCCUGUCUCUUAUACC